ACUAGUGACAUUUCACCUUUCAUUACACUGCUUCGAUUCACAUGCACUUUUUCCCCAUGUAUUUGAGAAAAGAAAAAUAAAAAAAAAAAAAAGAGAGCGAGAUGAACGUACUACAUUCAUAUAUUGAGAAGAUGAACUCACAUCGCAUACAAUCAUCACUCGCUUAAAGUUUAUCAGACAUUGCCUUCGCCGUACAAACAAAGUUGGAGUGGAAACAGAAUAGAAAUAAAUAUAAAAUAAAAACGAUACGAAAGAAAUGAAAAUGGCAUCACGGCGACAAUAAGAACGACAACAACAACGGGCAACAAUUUGCAAUGCUUUUGCGAAGUAACAAACGGAGCAAUACGAACGUUUUUUAGUAGCUUUUUUCCCCUGACAUGAUAUUUUCUUUACUAUUUUUGCUUUGUAUUAUCUUAUCACAUUCAUGAUAUAUCUAACAAAUACCUACAAGCAACAUACAGUUACAUUAAUAUCGUAGGUGAAGAUGUGUGAAUUUUCUUUUUUUGUUUUUUUUUCAAGGUAUUAUUGAUAAAAAUAAAUUUGUGUUCUCGAAUUAAAGUGAAUGAGAGUAA